AGGAACUCGAGGCUGGGGGCAGCGGAAAGAGGGAGGGGGCUAGGCGUUGUCGGAAGUACUGAGCGUAAAGGGAACGUAGGCGGAACAGAAAGUCAGAGGUGAAAUCCCAGGUCUCAACCGUGGAACUGGCUUUGAAACGCCUGUUCUUGAGGUCGAGAGAGGUGAGUGGAAUUCCGAGUGUAGAGGUGAAAUUCGUAGAUAUUCGGAGGAACACCAGUGGCGAAGGCGGCUCACUGGCUCGAUACUGACGCUGAGGUGCGAAAGCGUGGGGAGCAAACAGGAUUAGAUACCCGAGUAGUC
rnacentral:rRNA from 1 species